AGCGAACGCUGGCGGCAGGCUUAACACAUGCAAGUCGAGCGGGCCCUUCGGGGUCAGCGGCGGACGGGUGAGUAACGCGUGGGAACGUGCCCUCUGGUCUGGAAUAACCCUGGGAAACUAGGGCUAAUACCGGAUACGCCCUUUUGGGGAAAGGCUUGCUGCCGGAGGAUCGGCCCGCGUCUGAUUAGCUAGGUGGUGGGGUAACGGCCUACCAAGGCGACGAGCAGUAGCUGGUCUGAGAGGAUGAUCAGCCACACUGGGACUGAGACACGGCCCAGACUCCCACGGGAGGCAGCAGUGGGGAAUAUUGGACAAUGGGCGCAAGCCUGAUCCAGCCAUGCCGCGUGAGUGAUGAAGGCCUUAGGGUUGUAAAGCUCUUUUAUCCGGGACGAUAAUGACGGUACCGGAGGAAUAAGCCCCGGCUAACUUCGUGCCAGCCGCCGCCGUAA
rnacentral:rRNA from 1 species